ACUUCUGGUGAGAGAAAGCUGAGCAGAGUGGAUCUAACCUGAUUCCUCCACCAGAAGCCCUUAAAAUGCAGCUUUGUUUUAAGCCUUCUUGAAGAUUUGGGCUAGAUCUAGAAAAGAACCUCACCACGGAGGAUGUGCAAAGUACAACACGUGAUCCCGGAGACGGAAGCUCUUCUCUACCUCUGUAAAGAUGAUCUCUGAUGAACAGAAAUGAUCAUGCCUGGAGAACAGGGAUGAAUAGCCCAGCUUCUGAAAGACCCUGUCUGGCUGAUGAUUCAUGGUGCGCUGGGCCGAUCCCAGGCCAAGAGACCCCACCCACAGUACCUGAGUGCUCAGCUGGGAACCAGACCAGACCUCAAAACAGGUUCCCAAGGUUACCACCCAACCUGCCAGCUUUCCCACCACGCGAGGAGCAAGACCCCGCCUGCUCACCAUCUGUCUGUGCACCCAACGGGCCUCGCUGAGCUGCCCUAGGCCGCUCCCUCCAUCACACAGCUGGCCCUUCCUCUCCCUGCCUCCCUUCACCUACCCCAUGAACUACUUCAUCCCUUUGGACCGGCACUGUAGAAGCCCCAUUGGCUACAUUGACCUCCCAAUUAUCUCCUCUUUCCCUCUCCCUCUGCUCCUGUCCCAGACCAGCCCCCCAGCAUUGGCCUGGAUACCUGCCACAGCCUCCUCCCUGGUCCCCGGCCUCCCACCUCUGCUCCUCAGGGCUCCUCUACACAGCCAGUAACUGCAGAGAGCACUAAAGCACAGUCCUGACACCUCACUCCCUUAACCCUGGCCAUGGCUUCCCAGUGCCUCCAAGAUAAAGCACCAACACCUGAGGACAGCGGCUUGUUUUGAGAGUCCCCUCCGUUGAAACAUGCACAUCUGAUUUGUCCUUCAGUUCACUGGACUCCACGCUGAACGUGCCAUGCUCCAUUGCCCUGUGGGUAACUCCAUGCUCUUGCCGGUUUCACACAGCCUCUCAGAGCGGGAGCCUUUGUUCAGGAGCCCUGGGCAGCUUUCAGGAAGCUCUUGGGCUCAUCAGCUUCCUCUGGCUGAAGCGGCCCCAGUGGAAUCGUGGGGAUUUCUUACUUUGAAGGUGGGGCCACCCGCAGACCGUAACCGGCUGGUUCAAGAUCAAGGACUUCCCCAGGCCACCUGCCUCAGGGGCAGGAAAGGCUCAGCUGAGUCCCAGACACUCCUCGCUGUGGCCCCUCGUUCCUCCCUGCUGGGCAGGCCCCCCUCGAUUCUGUUUGCCAGCAGGGCCUAGUAACACUGAAAGACGAAAAGGGAAAUAAAAUAAACACAACUAAUAGGCUAAAGGUUACUGAAUAAAGUGGCAGCAGUAAACAAAUUGACUACUGUGCAAAUACAAAGACUUGAAGACAUGAAACCCCUGCUCUAAAUGACUCACCAAGAGCAAGGCCUGGGCUAGAGGCAGGGAGCACCUCCCUAAGGAGCACUCCCUCUUUCCCGGAGUGAGUCCUCCUUCUAGACAGAACUGAGUCCGGGUUCCUCUUGAGCCACAGUCCCUGUUGGGGCCUAUCUCACUGGACUCAAGAUCCUGAACUUCUACCAGAUUGCUGACUGCACAUUUGAGUCACCCAGAGAUUAAAAGAAAAAACAAAUAAUUUCCCAGUGAUCAGGAGUAAAUCAGCUGGGGCAGGGUUGGUGCUAUGAAUGACCACACUGAAUUGUGCACUUAAACUGAUUUGUGCACUUUGCUGAUUUGUAGUGUUUGCUAUUUCCGUCGUGUAAAUACUUCCAGCAUGGACAAUCUUAAGUUGCUAAUGGUUUACUAACUGGCUUGUAAAUGAAUUCAUUCAGUAUUCAAGAAAAUGACACUACAUUUAG
rnacentral:lncRNA from 1 species